UUCUGGAAUUACUCCUGCUCCCAGAAAGGGGAGAAGCUUCUUUCCGCUGAGGGAGGCAGAGCAUUGGGACCGGCUGCCCAGGGAGGGCGUGGGGUCUCCCUCUCGGGACGCGUUCAAAACUCACCUGGGCACGUUCCCCUGCCACCUGCUCCAGGGAACCUUGCCUUGGCUGGGAAGUUGAACUAAUCCAUCUCCAGAAGCCUCUUUCAGCCCUAACUAUUCUGUGAUUUCGUGAUUUAACACGAUUUAAAUUUUAAUAUGUAGGUGCCCUGAGGAAGGCUGGCUCCUUGCACUUGGGAAAGCUCUGUCCCCCGAGGCUCAGCGUGAUUUGGGGAGUCCAGCAGGUAAAUGUCUCAUUAGAGCUGUGGGUGAGCUGUCAUUACAGCUAACGGAGACAGAGCUAAUACAGACAGCAGAGUUUGGAGAGCUUUUCAGGUGGCCAAAUGAAGGUCUUUGCUUUAGGAUCAAAUUAAUUCCUCCCCAGGCUCCACCAAGGGACCACACUGAAGAGAUCACCACGGGCUCUGAUGGCACAUCUGACUCCAGCUCUCCAACAGCAUGGUAGGCACCCAAUAUGAGGUGAGCUGAAAUCCCGAUUUCAUAGGAGAUAUGGUAUCAUAAGGCUGAAACUAUUAGGGCACCAAAUUACGCCGACAUUUUCAAUGAAAAUGCAGAACUCAGAUUUUACUGAAAUAAGUCAUGUUAGGCAUUUAAAAAGGUGACAGUGCUUUGCAGCACGAGGUGUGUACACUUUGUGUUCAUGUGAUGAUGGAACUGUGGGCCUCAAAUCACAUUUACCUUACUGCAGUACAAGACUGAAAACCAAUGCCACUCUGGAACUGCAAAAUAUAAUUUGUCAGCUAGGUAACAAUUUUUAAGUAGGCAACCAAUAAUAAAAAUUUUUAGGUAAGUAAUAUAUUUCUUGUAUUCCAUAAAUUUUGUGAUAUACCAUAAAAAUGCACUUUAAUAUUUGCAUUCAAAUGCAAUUAUUAGCUAGCAUUCCAGAGUGCUGAGUUCCUGAAACUUUGUAAACUUAAUUUCUUAAAUACUGCCAAGGCGACAUAAAAAGACCUUUGCUUUGGUCCACAAAGACUUCAGCUAAGAUUAGCAUAUCAGCAUGUAUUUUUUAAAUGGCCAAUUUCCAGCACUAACUUCAGAUUUCUGUUGCUCACUUGUCCUCUCUGUACAAGGCCUGCAUCAGGUAGGUGGGAUUGGGACUCAUAAUCCGCUCACAGAGCAGAAGGUAUGUCUAAACCAGCCAGGAAGAAGAGACAAAGAGAUAGCACGUUGGAAAUCCUGACUUAUCCCAAGUUGAGGUUCUUUCCUCUGAAAAGAAUCUAAAUUGGAUUCACAGCAUGAAACCCAUCACAUACUUUGUGUCUUCGGCUACAGAAAACCAGCUUACUCUCUGCUGUCAAAGCACAGCUGGAAGAAAUUAUUUGCUACAGAAAUUUUCCUUCUUUCUUUCAAAUGCAAAUGACUCUGGCUGCUGUAUGCUACAUAUGCAAACUCUGUCUUGCUAGUGCACUGCUGAAUGCCUGCAACCACACAAAAGUGACAGGCAACCCUCAUUUCUAAGGAAUGGAAGGUAAAUAAGGAGGUGCAAAGCCUGCAAAGCUCGUAAUAGCUCCAGCGUGAAACCUCUUUGGGAAAAUCUUGGGUGCCUUCUGAAGCUGGGAUCUAAUGAGGUACUCAUAGCUUAAUUAAUUACUAUUUUGAGGAGGUUAGUUUUCGACUAACCUCCACUUAAAGUAAUUAAGCCUUUUUGUGGAUCUGGCUUUACUAUAGGCUCUCAGAAUCGAGUGACAGAGCAAUCAUUAUUUAGAAGUUUACAGUCCUAAGAGCCAAGACCUAGUAUUUUUCUGUUUUAUAGGCUCUGUUUUGAAGAUCUCCCUAGACUGAUUUACUGUAAGGUAAUCAUAUUAGAGAGAUUCUUCUCUGCAACGUCAGGUGCUGGAAUUGGAUUCAAGUCAUAAUCACUGAACAUACUAGAGACUAAGGCAUGUAUUCCACUGAAUGAGGAUGCAUUUGGGAAAUGUUUGAGGGCCAGUUUGAAAGCAGCUCUGUGGACUUGUUAUCAUUAACAGAUACAGCAAAGCUGGAUGAGUAGCAAUAGCUGGCAAACCAAAACCCUUGCAGAUUUGUCAGUACUGCUGGAAUACAGGCAGCUGGCUCUCAAUCUAUUUGCUGCUAUCUUAUAAACGUCUACAAAUACAUUACAGAAUCUGUGAAACUCCUGAUGUGUUUAUCCCUUGUUUUUUAAAAAAAUAUUAUGUCAAUAUUUCUGAGAUUACAGCAGAUGAGAUCCACUACGUAUUUUUGAGAAAACUGCACACCCCUUGCUAAUAAUUAUAGUUUAACAUACUGAUUGAAUAGUAGAGGAAAUGUAGUUUUUGCCCUCAGAUAGAGUGCCGAGAAGAGAGGUAUUUUUAUCAUAACACCAUCACUGUCAACUGGUAGCGUGUCAUAAGAAUUAAGCAAAUUAUUUGCAUUGUUAAGUAUAAAGUGUUGACUACUUUGGAAUUAAAUGAAAUCAUCAGUCCUCAUGCUUGCCUUGGAACAUAUCCCAGAAUAGGAAGGCUAGGACUUAUCUACUAAUCUACUCAGAACAAGCUUAGAAGGCUUUGACACUGCUCAAAUGUCAGUUUGAAUAUCUCCCAUUUGUUUAUUACAGCUAGUUAGUGGGGUCAAUGUGGUAUGGUCAAAAGAAAGUUAUUUAAAUUUUCUGCUCAAAAGAAAACCCCAGGAGACUGGAAUUUAAAUUUCUAACUAUUUUCUAAAAUGAUUAGGUUGCUUUCUUCUCUGAACCUGUGAUGUUGCUGAAGCAAUUCUUAAUUACUAAUUAAUCUCCAACAGUCAGAUGCUCCUCUGGCAUAUAGAAUGAAGGACAGCAGCAGAGUAAAACAGGAUGGAAAUGUAACACCUUGCUUGGGAAUUUUCUGACUAUAUUCAGUGCAGGUUAAUGAUUCUGCAGGUUAAUUGCAAGUGUUCUUUGUCUCUUUAACAUCUAGGGUUACCAUGGCAUUCAUAGCAGCUCUUGCAGUUAUUACAAUUACCUGAAAUAUUAACAGAUACAUAGAGGUUAAUGCUACAUUUCAUUAUUUCAGUAACUUCUCCCUACAGUUUCUAACCUUUGUGUUCAGUUACGGAAGAUGUUAAGGAAAACAGCUGUGCAACACACAUUUCCUGCAAAAAUCCAGGAGCAGUGCAGCUUGCUGAUAGCAGCUUGCAUUGGAACAGGAGGAAGGACAGAAGGCAGAUACUCACUCUACUGAAAUCAGACUGAUUUGACCUGUACCUUUCCAAAAUUAGUGAAUUUCUUUCACUCAUUCGGAAGUGAACAAGACUUUAUACUGCAGCAGACCUGUCCUCUUAAAGUCUAAUGUAUGUCUAUCAUUUCAUUACAUAGUUUUGGGGUUUUUUACUGGAGCUAGAAGAUACAGAAUGUUUUCUAGCUUAGCUCUUUCCAAGUAGAGCUGGUAGGUGUACCGUUAAUAAGGAGCAAUGGAGUUGCUGAAGGAGUACUGGGCUUUGUUGUUUAUUUCUGCAAUUGAUUUUCCAUCACACUAUUAUAAAAAAAAAUUAGGACACUCAAACAUGUUCCAUUAGUUAAGGUUCUAGCCAUGUGAUUUUUUGCAAAACUUAAAAUGCCAUUUUAAACCUGAAUGCUAUGUCAGUGUCUGGUAACAUGAAUGUGGGCAACUAUUGCUUCAGUUACUCAAACACAUCACUGCCUCGUUUUUCAGCUGGACCCCCUGAGUGGCAGGCAAUGACAGUGCAGUAACAAUUUAAGGUACUGGCUUAUCUGGAGCUGAGCCACAUACAGUUUUACACUGCAGGUCUUAACCAUCACUUCCCUUUUAACCAUCAGUCAUGUGAUCCUAAACACUGGCAACAAAUGCACCAAUGCACCCAGAUGUUGGCAUCUCUGUGUUCAAGGUGCAGCACCAAGCACUUGAUCAGCAGCUCGGUCUCUAAGUACUUGUAAAACACUGCCUAAAGGUACUUAAAUUCCAGGUCACAUUUAUUUUCAAUAAAUUUAUUUCAGUGAAGGUUGAAAUCCUGUGAAAAACAAGAACAUAUGGCAGGCAUAAUCAGGAACCAGAUCCUAAUACAAACAUACUGGGAAAGCAAGGUUAAGAUAAAAUAUUAAAGACUCAGAUUAAAAUCAACAAUUAAGAAGCAUCAGAAUCAAUCUGCCUAUGUUCGUGUUUUAUUUCACAUAGAUGAGACUUCUUGUGAGAAUUAAAAAUGCACUGGUCUGGCUGCCCUUGUCUGAGCAGCUGUUGCUGCAUUUUAGAUCACUCAUUUGAAGGCCAUUAAUUUACUGCAUAAAAUUGUGAAACAUAGUAAGCAUUAGCAAAAUGAUAAUGUUUAAGCAUAAUGCUCAGAAGACCCAAUUAAGGAAUCCAUUAGGAGGGCAAAUAAUUACGUAUAACAUUGCAUAACACAAUGUACUUUGCAUAUCUGUUUUCUCUGAUGCAUACAAGAGAUCAAGCACUAGUCAUCUAUUUCAGACUGAAUUUAUGUCAGAGAGUACCUUUGAGAUCUGGAGCAUAUGCUAAAUUACCCAAUAUAACUAUCAGUGAUAGCAAAAACACUAGAGCCUUUAAGAUGCAAAAAAUUAUUUGUAUUGUUCCACACAGGUAAGACGGUGUUGAAAUUGCCUAUUCUGAAAAUCAGAUGUCAGAAGAUAUUUAUAAGGUUUUUGAAGGCCUUUUUUCUCUCUGAUAGCUACUCAUAUUUCUCUGUUUCUCAGAUAUCCUCAUCCUCUUGCUUCACAUCCAUAUUGUAAUGCUAUCUGUGUAUCUCCACACAGUGCAAAGAUUAUUAAUCACCUGUGUUUACACUUGGAGGCAAAUCUGUGUUUAAGGGAAUACCUGAUGAGCCACAUCAUGAUGUUAUCAGGCCUGUAGCAUAACACUGCUAAGAGAUUAAAAAAACCAAUAAAGCUUUAAGCAGUU
rnacentral:lncRNA from 1 species